rnacentral:tRNA from 1 species
GGGCCAUAGCUCAGUGGCAGAACAUCUGCUCUGCAUGCACAAGGUUCCAUGUUCAAUCCCUGGCAUCUCCA